rnacentral:rRNA from 1 species
UACGGAGGGUGCAAGCGCUAUCCGGAUUUACUGGGUUUAAAGGGUGCGUAGGUGGGUCUGUAAGUCCGUGGUGAAAUCUCCGAGCUUAACUUGGAAACUGCCAUGGAUACUAUAGGUCUUGAAUACUGUGGAGGUCAGCGGAAUAUGUCAUGUAGCGGUGAAAUGCUUAGAUAUGACAUAGAACACCAAUUGCGAAGGCAGCUGGCUACACAAAUAUUGACACUGAGGCACGAAAGCGUGGGGAUCAAACAGG